rnacentral:rRNA from 1 species
GCCUAAUACUGACGCUGAGGUACGAAAGCAUGGGGAGCAAACAGGAUUAGAUACCCUGGUAGUCCAUGCCGUAAACGAUGUCUACUAGCCGUUGGGGCCUUUGAGGCUUUAGUGGCGCAGCUAACGCGAUAAGUAGACCGCCUGGGGAGUACGGUCGCAAGACUAAAACUCAAAUGAAUUGACGGGGGCCCGCACAAGCGGUGGAGCAUGUGGUUUAAUUCGAUGCAACGCGAAGAACCUUACCUGGCCUUGACAUACUAGAAACUUUCCAGAGAUGGAUUGGUGCCUUCGGGAAUCUAGAUACAGGUGCUGCAUGGCUGUCGUCAGCUCGUGUCGUGAGAUGUUGGGUUAAGUCCCGCAACGAGCGCAACCCUUUUCCUUACUUGCCAGCAUUUCGGAUGGGAACUUUAAGGAUACUGCCASUGACAAACUGSAGGAAGGCGGGGACGACGUCAAGUCAUCAUGGCCCUUACGGCCAGGGCUACACACGUGCUACAAUGGUCSAAACWGAGGGUUGCUACRCAGCGAUCUGAUGCUAAUCUCUCAAAGCCAAUCUUG